GACAGAGGUGCCGAGCGUUAGGCGGAAUCACUGGGCUUAAAGCGUGUGUAGGCGGCCCGUUAAGUGUCUUGUGAAAUCCCCCGGCUCAACCGGGGAACUGCUGGGCAUACUGGCGGGCUUGGGUCGCUCAGGGGCAGACGGAACAGGCGGUGGAGCGGUGAAAUGCGUAGAUAUCGGGAGGAAUACCUAUGGCGAAGGCAGGUUACUGGGCCAUCACUGGCGCUGAGCUGCGAAAGCUAGGGGAGCAAACAGG
rnacentral:rRNA from 1 species